rnacentral:misc_RNA from 1 species
CCUUUCCCUUUCCCUUCCCAUUCCCAUUUCCAUUUUCAUUCCCAAUUCCACUCCCUUUCUUCUCCCAAACCACCACCAACUUCCCUCCAACAUUUGCCAUUGUUGCCCCGGCCAAGAACCUUGGCAACUCCUUAUCCACCCCUCUCAACUCCUUCCAAAAACCCUUUCCCACGUCGAAACCCCUAAUCUUUCCCAAGAAAUCGUAACAAUACAAAACCUCAUCCACCACACACGCCCUCCCUCUCCAUCCUAAAUCCAAUUCACUCCCUACACUGUCCCAUUUCUUAGUUCGGGGCUCGUAAACCACCCCAUUCCUGUCCGCCAUUGCGUAGAUUCUGUUAUCUAUCACAGCACUCGCGUGCAUCCAUUUCUCUCGCAAUAAAUUAUCGUGCGCGCUAUCCACUGAUUCCCAAGUUCUAGUCUUUGGGUCAUAAGCCUCCGCCCAAUUCUUCGACCGGGCCCAAGUAUCCACGACGCAGCCGCCGAUGACGUAGAUUUUGUCAUCCACCACCCCGGCGGCGGCGAAUUCGCGGGAAAUUCUCAUGUUGGGAACGGAUUCCCAGGUGUGGAAGCGGCAAUCCAGAGCCCAUACGUGGGAGGAGGGGACAUCCUUGAGGCAGCCGCCGAUGACGUAGAUCUUGGGGCCAACAGCAACCAGAGCAGAGCCAAGUAAAGGAGAGGGGGUAGGUGGGACUGGGACUAGGAAAUAUGGAGGUUUUGUGCGAUUCGGAGAGUUGUGAUAAAGUGUGAACCAAUGCAAGGAGCUUGUGGUGGGGAUGCGGAUAGAGAGAUAGAGAAAAGGUUGGGAGCAGCGAAGGAGAGAGCGGGUGGUAUAGAAGAGAGGGGAGGAGAAGACAGAGCGGAAAGGCUUGGAGACCAAGGAAAGGAGAGGGUGG